rnacentral:rRNA from 1 species
GACGAACGCUGGCGGCGUGCUUAACACAUGCAAGUCGAACGGAAAGGCCCUGCUUUUGUGGGGUGCUCGAGUGGCGAACGGGUGAGUAACACGUGAGUAACCUGCCCUUGACUUUGGGAUAACUUCAGGAAACUGGGGCUAAUACCGGAUAGGAGCUCCUGCUGCAGGGUGGGGGUCGGAAAGUUUCGGCGGUUGGGGAUGGACGCGCGGCUUAUCAGCUUGUUGGUGGGGUAGUGGCUUACCAAGGCUUUGGAGGGUAGCCGGCCUGGGAGGGGGGCCGGCGACAUUGGGACUGAGGUACGGCCCAGACUCCUACGGGAGGCAGCAGGGGGGAAUAUUGCACAAUGGGCGGAAGCCUGAUGCAGCAACGCCGCGUGCGGGAUGACGGCCUUCGGGUUGUAAACCGCUUUCGCCUGUGACGAAGCGUGAGUGACGGUAAUGGGUAAAGAAGCACCGGCUAACUACGUG